CUCGUCAAAACUUACACAUCAAAUCAAAGUCCUUUAUUCUUUAUUUUUAUCUUCAAACUUGGAGUUUGGGUGAAAAUUGUCAAGUCUCCUGAUCGAAAAAAUCUAAAUAUUUACGAGGAAACUAAAAAUGAUGGGCUGAAUUUAAAUUUAAUAAAGCAUCUCAUUAAGACAAACACUCGAUAUGAAUAUCUCGGCAAUAGAAUGUUGGAUACGCAAAC
rnacentral:lncRNA from 1 species